GCCGAGGUGGUGGAAUUGGUAGACACGAGGGAUUUAAGUCCCCUUGACCUAAAACGUCGUGCGGGUUCGAGCCCCGCCCUCGGCA
rnacentral:tRNA from 3 species